GUUGCAGGGACAGGAGCAGUUCCAGGACUGACCUGAAGUUCACCACCCCAGAGGAGAGUUAAACAUUUUAUGGUUAAAAGUCUCCCAAGCACCAAGGCAGAGCAUCAUGAGGAGUCUCCUGGACAUUUUGCUGGGGCUUUUGUGCUCCCAGGUUUGCUGUGUGAGCGGAAUACAGGUGGAGCAGAGUCCUUCGGCCCUGAGUCUCCAGGAGGGAGCCAGUUCCACGCUGUGGUGCAAUUUUUCUACCUCCGUGACCAAUGUACAAUGGUUUCGCCAAAAUCCCGGAGGACGCCUCAUCACCCUGUUUUACGUUCCUUCGGGGACAAAGCGGAAUGGAAGAUUAAAUGCCACGACAGUCGCUAACGAGCGCCACAGCUCACUGCACGUUUCUUCUUCCCAGACCACAGACUCAGCCGUGUAUUACUGCGCGGUGGGGCCACAGCGCUCCCGGGACACCUGCAGCCUGUGCAGGAACCUCCCGGGCUCAGCCCUUCCCUCAACCACAGCGCCACACGGGCUCUCAGCAGCACGUGCACAGCUUAGCAUUUUUUCCUGCUUUGGUGGAGAUUUAAGCUUUCACAACCACCAGCCUAAUCAGUCAGUACCCAUGACCAUCGAGGAAAGACCCUGCACUGGCAAAAAGAUUGCAAUUUGGUGA